CAAGGAAUUAGAGCCAACUUUUCUCUUGAUAUAAAAGGGGUUGUCAGACUAGGUGCAUUCGCAUUCAUUGAAAUACAUUUGGUAGUUCCGUACGUGCAAAGUAGAGAAGACUUGCACUAAAAUUUGUUUUCCGUUCUAUUUUCAGUUUAGCAAAUCAGCUUCUAAAGCAACAGCUUGUUUAAGAAAACAAUUCUCCAGAACUAAUUCAAGGAUGUCUAGCAUAGUACAUUUCAGCGCUUUCUUCUUCAUCAUAAUCAGCUGGAUUGUAACUUGUCAAGGGAAGGAAAAACCUAACUGCCAGGUCCACCCAUUGAGAUGGUUUUGCGCUUAGAAACAGCUCUAGCUCAUAAUAGUCCGUAUGUGAAAAUUUAGAGGACUCGCAGGAAUACGUUGAAAACAUAUAUUUUCAAUGACUCUAUCAGUCUUCAUUUUAUCGAAGAACGCAGUGUGGUAAUUUUCGAAGUAUGACUUGUUG